GCUAUUUACCAUUAUCUGCAUUGAUUACUAUUAAUGAAUUACUUUGACAAUGAAGAAAACUUAAAAACGUGAUGAUUCCUAAGGCAAGUUCUGGAGACAUAAGGAGCGUCUUUUUUCUUUAUUCACGAUAGACAUCGAAGACAGUGAAGUCCUCGGAAAGUCUCUGCUGGACAGACAGAGCUGCCCGGGUGGACACUUGAGAGGAAAUCUGAUGCAGUCCAGAGAAAAAACCAUCCGUCUUCAUCUUGAACACAAGAAACCUGGUAAAGUCUUGUUUUUUAAAGUCAGUUUCCAGUCAGCUUUAUCCAGG